ACUCGUAGAACCUAAGGCCUUUCCCCCGGGUGAGGUUGACGCGGCCCCCCAGGCUGUCCGACACCACCCCUCCAUGGACCGCAGACAGGCAGAUCAGCGAUGACUGCAGUAGAAUACGGAUUAUAAAAGUUGUUCAGAACGUCCUUACAGCCGGCAGGGCAGUACACGCUGAGGAGGAGCACAGAGACAGGACAACAGGAAGCCCCGACCAGAGCGGUGUCGGCCCGACCUGAAGAUCACCGACGCUUCGUUGCUGUUAACCGACAAUUUCAACUCCGAAGCAGUGAGUCUCCCACACAGAGGGCCUGAGAACACACACACACACACACACACACACACAAACAAUGAAUUAAUAUCCACAUACAUACAGUACAUACAUCUGACAGAGCUAUACAUGUGUUUAUAGCUCCCACAGAAGCAGAACUUCAGCAAAGAAAGUGUUGUUCAGUGAAGCUUGAUACAGAAGACAUGUCUGUAAAAGGAGAGCUAGGAUAAGGAUAGCUUGGUCUUGUAAAACGUGUGAGCCAUUGGAAUUUUUGAGUAAAAACGAUCUGUUCAGCAGAAAGAGCUGAAGGAUUCCAUCUCCUUCCCCUACUUCUUCUAUCUCUCUCAUUCAGUACCUAGGUGUCUCCAGUCCAAACCUCCAUACCCUCAGGAUACUAAUAGAUACACCUGGAUGGGCAGGCGUUGACUCAGACAUGAUUUUGUAACUCGUCUGUCGAUGGAAUGGAAUGCGCUGUGUGAGUAAACGUCUGCAUUGACCAUGAUCACGCGGCACGCCACACAUUAAUUAGUCAGGUAUGAGCUGAGAGUGAAACAUCCAUCAAAGGAUUUCAAAUCACUUGGUUGAGUCAUCAUAGCGAUUCAAGCUGUUUAAACAUUUGGGAUACAUCAAGCCACGACUGCAGAUCACCACAACGAUGAUCUGAGCUGUGAGGUUACCUCUGCUGAGGGCCCUGUGUGUGUGUUUGUGUGUGUGUUAGUUUAUCUCUUCCUGGGGCCCCGUGUGAGUGUGUGUGUUUACCUAUGCUGGGGGACCCGUUGCUCAGGGUGAUCACCAGAGAGCCGUUGGGGCAGUCCAUGCUUCCCUCGAUGUCAAAGUCCCCAAAGAGGAGGCGUAAUGUGCGGCCCUGCGGGACACGAAGCCUCCACGUACACGACCCAUCCUGGGGAUAGGUGCCUGGGUAGUUAGCUGAGGUCAGGGUGCCACUCUCUGGUCCAAGCUUUGUAUGCCCGCAGCCAUCGCCUGGAAUAUGAAGGAAAGACACAAACACGGAAUACUGUUGUGUACUUUAGGGGAAGAGAACCUUUUAACCAAACACACUGAAUACGGUUAACUGUAGGGGGAAGAGAGAGACACUGAUAACCAGCAUUGAAUAAUGGUGUCCAUCGUUUAGACCCAACAGGCCAAAUACCUUUUUGAAUCAACUUAGUGCUUCUUUUACAAAAUGUUGGCUGGUGUGUGGGAUACAUAAUAACAAAAGUUUCAUCUUAUCAUGAUUCCUCUCAAUUUUUUAAUUGUUACUUUGGUUUGGUUUUGAUCUAUGGAGCAUUAGGAAGUGAUAUGAAAUCAUAGCUUUAUGUUGUUCCUCUGUGGUUAAAGAAAGUCAUACAACAUUGUGGAUUAUUUGGUGGGAAAAGUUUUUCCAACUUGUUUGAGUGAGAAAAUGUAUGGCAUUAUCACUUUAGGAUAAGCAUCUUAGAGCUUGUAUGUCUUUAAAAUGUGUUCAUAGCAGCGGUUUUUAUGUCUAAAUAUUAUAGUGUAAUAAACAGACAAUUAAAGGCUUUGUUUACUCAUCGGCUCCUUUUAAAAAGGUGAGUAACCAUGUCUACUACGAGCACUGGGAACAGAGCCAAGGCUUAAGCACUUCCUGGAUCUCAACCGCGAGACAGACCCACACAUUGCCUGCUGGGAAACGGCUCACUAAACUACAGGAUAUGUUGGACACUCUGAGGGAACACUACAGGACACUCUGAGGGAACACUACGACAUGUUCACUCUUAAGGGUACAAUAAGGGACAUGUUCACUCUGAAGGGAACGCUAGAGGAAACGUUCACUCUGAAGGGAACGCUAGAGGAAACAUUCACUCUGAAGGGAACGCUAGAGGAAACGUUCACUCUGAAGGGAACCCUAGAGGAAACGUUCACUCUGAAGGGAACGCUAGAGGAAACGUUCACUCUGAAGGGAACGCUAGAGGAAACGUUCACUCUGAAGGGAACGCUAGAGGCAACGUUCACUCUGAAGGGAACACUAGAGGACAUGUUCACUUUUGGAUGGAUUGGUGUUAUGUAAAUGUUAUCUUAAUCUAAUCUGUUCACACGUGCUAAUCUAUGGUAAAAUGUGACUAACAGGCAGACUAGUGGAAGUGAAACACACUAAUAUUUAUCGGGAUGAGUCAGUUCUCUAGUGGGUCCGGUGGUUAGCGCUGUGGGGGGGGCAGUUCGGAAAAACAACCACUGCACGUCUGACUAACAGCACCAAGAAUGGGCAGUACGUCUGAAGAGGAAACCAACAACAAACCCUGGCCCAUGCUGCAUUUCAACCCUGGCUGGGCUCCUACAGAAGGAUGGGGUCAGGGAGGGGGGUUGGGAGACCCUCCUCCGAGAAUGGUGGAAAGCAACCGUUCAAACCGCGCUGUGCAUGGGUCAACAGUCUGCUAGCUGUCUGCCCCUUUACUCUGGUCCCCCAGCGAUUGCCUGGAGAUGCCGAAGCGACAAGCUGUCACCGUUGGCAACCGAGCGGGGGUCUGUGACACCUUCCGGGGGAACAUUCCUUGUGUUGCUGUUGAAGGGGUUAGAAGGUCUUCCAUUUAUCAGUCAAACUACUUGUGUUAUUCCAUACAUCCCACUCUACACCCAGCUCUUCCAUCCAAUUGUCAUUAGACAAACUAAAAUGUGCCCUUUUAUCAUUUGGGCCGAGUUCCUUCUACCCUGCGAAUCACAACCAUGAACCAUAAUAAAGAAAUGUCUUGUUGCUUUUUCCUUUAAGUUUUUUGGGUUUAAUUAUAACCUGAGAAUAGUGUUCUCUCAGCAACAAUUUGACUACAAUCUUAGACGUCUAGAGACUAGUUGCUGGCAGGUCCUCACAGGUCCACCAGUGAGGCAGACAGGUAGUCCAACUGUGAUGCCUGUCCUUGCAAGUGCUUCAUUCAAUAGUACCACCACGUAACAACCAUAAUAUUGGGGCUCCUGUUUCUCUCUGACAUAUCAGUUGUACCACAGGUUUGGUUCUUUGCAAACAAGUUUAUUUAGAACAAAUUGGCUUCUCGGCUUAAUAAUAUCCGGUCGCAAAUACACAUGACAUGCUCAACAGACCACGGUAUCAUUUCUACACAGAGAAGGCAAGUAGGCUUUAAUGUAGACUAUUAUGUGCUUCCUUCCGACUAUGGCUUGAAGAGGCCUUUCGGAAAAGGACACAAUACUCUUGACACUGUAUUGAAAUCAGUGUAUGCUUUGUGAAAGGGGAAUGUAAAGUAUACAUGGACAGGUAUGUACGGAAUGCUGCCAUGACAUUAUCAUAGGGCUUUAUCCCACGUGUAAUGUUAGUUGUGUUAACUAUGUUAGUUGUGAUUUAUGUCAUUAUGUUACCAGAGGUCCAGAAAGAGGAUGCUAUAAUAUAGUUCCUGUAUUGUGGUUUAAGUAGGCAUUCUCUUCCUUAAACAAAAUGGGCUACCAAGUGAUUGCAAAAAUAAAUGUUUUUGUAUUAGCCGACUAUGCCGAUACACGUAAUGAGUUAUAUCGGCUCAACUUUUUACGUUACAUACUUUUAAAAACAUCGAUUGGUUGGAUUAGGCUACGACACUCUUUGUAAUAAAGCCAGCCAGCUAACACAGACUUGGCUUGACAUCUUUUAACGAACUACGUAUGAUUAAACAAAUUUAAGCAUAAUAAGAAUAUCAAGAUGAGCUGUUGCCCAGUCGUAAA